rnacentral:rRNA from 1 species
AGCCACAGCCAUGUCAUCCUGCAGCCCAAGACCGGUUACUCGCUGAAGCUAAGCAGGCUGAGCCUGGUCAGUUCCUGGAUGGGGGACUAGAUGGGAAAACUAAGUUGCUGUUGGAA